UACGAAGGGGGCUAGCGUUGCUCGGAAUCACUGGGCGUAAAGCGCACGUAGACGGAUCUUUAAGUCAGGGGUGAAAUCCUGGAGCUUAACUCCGGAACUGCCUUUAAGACUGCAUCGCUAGAAUCGUGGAGAGGUGAGUGGAAUUCCGAGUGUAGAGGUGAAAUUCGUAGAUAUUCGGAAGAACACCAGUGGCGAAGGCGACUCACUGGACACGUAUUGACGCUGAGGUGCGAAAGCGUGGGGAGCAAACAGG
rnacentral:rRNA from 1 species